GACGAACGCUGGCGGCGUGGAUUAGGCAUGCAAGUCGAACGGUAUCAUCCUUUCGGGGGUGAGAGAGUGGCGAACUGGUGAGUAACACGUAGGUUAUCUACCCUCAAGACGGGGACAACCCAGGGAAACUUGGGCUAAUACCGGAUGUGAGCAACUUUUAGUUGUUUGAAAGGUGGCGUAAGCUGUCGCUUGGGGAUGAGCCUGCGUCCUAUUAGUUAGUUGGUGAGGUAACGGCUCACCUAGGCAAUGAUAGGUAGGCGGCCUUAACGGGUGGUCGCCCACACUGGGAUUGAGAUACGGCCCAGACUCCUACGGGAGGCAGCAGUCGAGAAUAGUCUACAAUGGUCGGAAGACUGAUAGUGCGACGCCGCGUGAACGAUGAAUCCCUUCGGGGUGUAAAGUUCUUUUAUAUGUGAGCAGUGCUUCUUAUAUUAACAGUAUGGGGAAGAGAUAUUAGCAUAUGAAUAAGCAACGGCUAAACUCCGUGCCAGCCAGCCGCGGUAAAAA
rnacentral:rRNA from 1 species